rnacentral:misc_RNA from 1 species
GAUGAAGAACGCAGUGAAAUGCGAUAAGUAGUGUGAAUUGCAGAAUUCAGUGAAUCAUCGAAUCUUUGAACGCACAUUGCGCCCCUUGGUACUCCAUGGGGCAUGCCUGUUCGAGCGUCAUUUACACCCUCAAGCUCAGCUUGGUGUUGGGCGUCUGUCCCGCUUCGUGCGCGGACUCGCCUCAAAUGCAUUGGCAGCGGUCUUGCCAGCUUCUCGCGCAGCACAUUGCGCUUCUAGAGGCUUUGGCGGAUCGGCGUCCAUCAAGUACACCCACAGUUUGACCUCGGAUCAGGUAGGGAUACCCGCUGAACUUAAGCAUAUCAAUAGCGGAGGA